rnacentral:lncRNA from 1 species
UAUGUAUCUAGGGGAGGCAGAGUCAAGAUGGUGGUAUAGAAGCAGCAAAAGUUCAGACCUCUGAAAACCAUUCCUUGCUGAUCACAAAUGCCCCUAGGGGACUGAAAAUCAAACCUAACAACAAGACAGAGCAAAGGAACCCUCCUGCUGGACUCAACCCAAAAGGCAAGAAGAUCACAGAAUCAUGAGACCCACAAAAGAAAGAUUCUCAAAAGCAAUCUAUUCUAACCUACAUCAGAAUGAAAACCCCCCUUGAAAAUAUUCUAUCAAAAAAAGUUGGCUGCAUUUUUCUCAAAGAUCUCUAUUGAGGGAGAACUUCUCCCCGCCUCACCUUCCAAAGGCUCCUGCUAUAGUAAGUUUGAGACGGAAGAAAUGAAGGAAGAAAGGAAGGAAGGAAAGAAGAAAGAAGGAAAAGAUGGAAGGAAAGACAGAAAGAAGGAACUUUUAUGAACAAAAUCAAAUCCAUUGACCCAUAGUUUAUAUAUUCUAUUUAUUUUCUUCUUUUGAAAAUCAGAGAAAAAACUACCCUUUUUCUAAUAAUGCAAUACCUCUCCUGUUUUCUAGAGAGUUUCAAGAAUAUAAACUUUGGCUAAAAAAUUCCAUUUGCCAUAUAUUUUUGCUUGAUAUACUCAUUUAUGUCUAAUGCUUUGAACUAAAGGUCAACUAUAUUUUCUAUCACUAACUUCCUAUUGUCUUCCAUAUUAACACAAUCUUUGAACUUUUCACUCUUUAUUUUUAAGACCAGAAAUCAUUUCCUAGG